rnacentral:rRNA from 1 species
GAUGAACGCUGGCGGCGUGCCUAAUACAUGCAAGUCGAGCGAACAGACGAGGAGCUUGCUCCUCUGACGUUAGCGGCGGACGGGUGAGUAACACGUGGAUAACCUACCUAUAAGACUGGGAUAACUUCGGGAAACCGGAGCUAAUACCGGAUAAUAUAUUGAACCGCAUGGUUCAAUAGUGAAAGACGGUUUUGCUGUCACUUAUAGAUGGAUCCGCGCCACAUUAGCUAGUUGGUAAGGUAACGGCUUACCAAGGCGACGAUGCGUAGCCGACCUGAGAGGGUGAUCGGCCACACUGGAACUGAGACACGGUCCAGACUCCUACGGGAGGCAGCAGUAGGGAAUCUUCCGCAAUGGGCGAAAGCCUGACGGAGCAACGCCGCGUGAGUGAUGAAGGUCUGCGGAUCGUAAAACUCUGUUAUUAGGGAAGAACAAAUGUGUAAGUAACGAUGCACGUCUUGACGGUACCUAAGCAGAAAGCCACGGCUAACUACGU